rnacentral:rRNA from 1 species
AUGUCUGGGAAACUGCCUGAUGGAGGGGGAUAACUACUGGAAACGGUAGCUAAUACCGCAUAACGUCGCAAGACCAAAGUGGGGGACCUUCGGGCCUCAUGCCAUCAGAUGUGCCCAGAUGGGAUUAGCUAGUAGGUGGGGUAACGGCUCACCUAGGCGACGAUCCCUAGCUGGUCUGAGAGGAUGACCAGCCACACUGGAACUGAGACACGGUCCAGACUCCUACGGGAGGCAGCAGUGGGGAAUAUUGCACAAUGGGCGCAAGCCUGAUGCAGCCAUGCCGCGUGUGUGAAGAAGGCCUUCGGGUUGUAAAGCACUUUCAGCGGGGAGGAAGGCGAUAAGGUUAAUAACCUUGUCGAUUGACGUUACCCGCAGAAGAAGCACCGGCUAACUCCGUGCCAGCAGCCGCGGUAAUACGGAGGGUGCAAGCGUUAAUCGGAAUUACUGGGCGUAAAGCGCACGCAGGCGGNCUGUCAAGUCGGAUGUGAAAUCCCCGGGCUCAACCUGGGAACUGCAUUCGAAACUGGCAGGCUAGAGUCUUGUAGAGGGGGGUAGAAUUCCAGGUGUAGCGGUGAAAUGCGUAAAGAUCUGGAGGAAUACCGGUGGCGAAGGCGGCCCCCUGGACAAAGACUGACGCUCAGGUCCGAAAGCGUGGGGAGCAAACAGGAUUAGAUACCCUGGUAGUCCACGCCGUAAACGAUGUCGAUUUGGAGGUUGUGCCCUUGAGGCGUGGCUUCCGGAGCUAACGCGUUAAAUCGACCGCCUGGGGAGUACGGCCGCAAGGUUAAAACUCAAAUGAAUUGACGGGGGCCCGCACAAGCGGUGGAGCAUGUGGUUUAAUUCGAUGCAACGCGAAGAACCUUACCUGGUCUUGACAUCCACAGAACUUACCAGAGAUGCUUUGGUGCCUUCGGGAACUGUGAGACAGGUGCUGCAUGGCUGUCGUCAGCUCGUGUUGUGAAAUGUUGGGUUAAGUCCCGCAACGAGCGCAACCCUUAUCCUUUGUUGCCAGCGGUUAGGCCGGGAACUCAAAGGAGACUGCCAGUGAUAAACUGGAGGAAGGUGGGGAUGACGUCAAGUCAUCAUGGCCCUUACGACCAGGGCUACACACGUGCUACAAUGGCAUAUACAAAGAGAAGCGACCUCGCGAGAGCAAGCGGACCUCAUAAAGUAUGUCGUAGUCCGGAUUGGAGUCUGCAACUCGACUCCAUGAAGUCGGAAUCGCUAGUAAUCGUAGAUCAGAAU